AACUUGGAAAGGAAAGAUAAGAAGCAAGGCGGCUCCACGGCUCCACAGAUUCACUCCAGUGAUCAGAGAGAGAGAGAGAGAGCACUGGCUGACCACAGUGACCUGAGACCAUACAAACUGCUUGGUUGAUGAAGAUACAGACAACAGGUUGGCCCCACCCCUCCACAC
rnacentral:lncRNA from 8 species